rnacentral:misc_RNA from 1 species
GUAUGGAACCUGGCUUUAAGAGGGUAAGUCAAAAUAAAUGAUUUGUUAAUAUCCAUAAAAUCUGCUCCAAGAUUAGAAAAGGGAAAUGUGUUCUGUAUUUAGUUGAAGAUGGAAGAUAAGGAAUAUCUUUUCUUAGUAGUUUCCAUGUUUGUGGAAUGAAUAUUGAUCUUAUUUUCUUCUCGGCCAUAUGUUCUCUAUUAAAUGCUCUGGAAAUUGUUUGUAGUACUGUAUCAAUUUCCGUGAGAUGGCAUGUCAUUUUUUAAAUGAUUGAGCUUUUUUGUGAUGGCUUGUCUUUAAUUGAGCAAAAUUUAAUCAUCCUUGCAUAUUCACUUUAUGGUUUUUACCUUUUCUUUUGAAGCUCUUCUUUGAUUUUGAGCAUCUUUUUAUUCUUUGUAGGUUUGUUAUUAAGACUAUUUUUGUAUUUUAUGUUUUGUAUAUUGUUGAAGAGAAACAUAGUUUUGGAAUCACACAAAAAGAGGAAGAAAGAAAUAGAAAUGAAAUGUUUCAUCUUUGAUGGAGUCAUUUCUGAAAAAUUUACUACUUUUGUAUUACAUCUCUAUGAGCCUGAACUGCAGGUAUUUUAUGUGCUUAGUGCUGCAACCAAGAAACCUCAUGUUUGAUUCCCAUUUCCUUAUGUGCUGCUAUGUUACCAUUUCUUGUAAUUAUUCCUCUCUUCCAUACCUCAGGCUGAUUAUAAGAACUGGCAAAAAGCAGUGUUAUACAAUUAGUUUAGUUUAGAUGCAACAGAAAUCUAGUAGAUGUUAUUGGUAUGCUGCUGCUGAAUGUAAAUACUCACGCUGACAAUUUUUUACUGAGAUCUAAUAGGUAUCUUUACUUGUUGGAUAGCAACUCAUUUCAAAUUAUUUUG